UGCCCAAAACUCCUAUUCCAACCUCCUCACGGUACUGGCCGGAAUACGAACAACCUUAGGGAAGAUCGGUUAGCUAACCCCGGUGGGAGCUCUGGUCGAAUUCCGACAGAAAAGG
rnacentral:ribozyme from 1 species